rnacentral:lncRNA from 1 species
UAAAUCUCUGUUUCAGUCAGAAACCAGAGGCCUUGCUUAGAAAUUUCACAAAGGACCUGUUCUGAUAGAGAGACAUCUGGUGAUACUAUCUGUUGAUUGCAAAGAAAAAUAUACCCGACUAAUAAGAAGAAAAUGAAUGGUGCAUAAUGACCCAAUCUCCUUUGGAUAUAAUAAAACUAUGCCUGAUUUGUGGUCUUCAUUUACAUUUAGGGGCAAGAAUCAUUGCUCUCUUUGAAUGACUCUAGUUCCCAGCAUAGAGGUUUGUAUUUACUAGACCACCAAUAAACAUUGGUUAGGUUCAGGCUCUGAGCCUCUGACUGUCUGGUCCAGAUAGCAAGUGUCUGCAGGAUUUCUAGACCCCAUGCUCUUACACCAGCUUGUCUAUGAAGAUGGAAGACAAAGCUUUUCUUUCCAAGAAAAAACUGAAAACAUCAACUCAAGUCUUGACUUUGGUUGGGAAAGAGUAACUGCAGUAAUUAGGACCCAAUUGAUGGCAAAGGGAUAUGAUCUAGAAUACCUGAAACUUGGUAAUUUAUGAAGAAAAGGAAUUCAUUUCUUACAGUUAUGGAGGCUGAGAAGUCCAAGGUCCAGGGGCAUAACAGAUCUGAUUGUUCGCAAUUUUUCUACUGGGGUCUUCAGUGCUAUGAAUUCUAUACAAGAUACAUAUGAAGAGUAAGAACUCACUGCCUAUUAAGAUUGUUGCAAAUAUUUUCUCAUUUGUCAGUUUUAUUUAUAAUCCUUUUUUGUUUAUAAUUGUAAAGCAGUUUAAAACUAUUGAGUUUUUCUUCCUCUGCUUUUAUUCUUUUUCACCCUACUUAUCACUUUCAAAGAAAGUAUAGAAAUAAUCAUCUUAAUGUGAUUUUUUAAAAUUAUGAUUUCUUUUACCUUACCAAGAAUCUCCUCGGAUGCCAGAAUUGACUUUUACUCCCUUAUACAUUAAUGAUUAUAUAACAGAAAUCAUUAUCAUGUUGAUGUAACCAAUUACUAAAAUAUGUAAAUUCACUUUCAGUAUCUUUUACCCAAAGAAUCAUUCUAUACUUCUGCACAAGGUGAGAAUAAAAAAUAAAAUGACUGUAAAAAUAGUGAGUACAAAUAUUCUUUUGGUCGUUAUGAUGCUGUAACAUUCUCUGCUGGUUUCAACAAUAUUCCUUUUUUUUAGUCUUCCUGUUUGUCUUUGGACUUCCAAACAGUGAGUUUAAAUAUCAUAGCAACAGUGAACCAGGUUUUGUACUAUUUGAUUUAUUUUUUAAUCUAUCUUAUUUGCCGUAUAAAAUUAUUAAUCUUCAUCUUUUAACUUACAUAUCUUUUCUCCAGCCUAGCAUUAUAUAUUGAGAGGAAAUCCACUAAAAGUAGAUCACAAAAUCUACUUUUCAAAAAAGCUAUUUUGUUUUUUAUAUCAAAAUUACCAUGGGCUUAAGACAGAUACUAAAAUUUUUAAUGAAUACAAUUAAAUUUUUAAAAUAACUGGUUACUAAUUAUAUUACAAUAUAAGUUCACCUGGAAUCAGAUAAUUUGACAGCCAUAAACUGCUCUGGAGGACUAGGGCCCUCAUCAACUAUUGGAGAAAAAACAUUUGAAAAUAAAUUUGACAUAUGCUAUAAAUAUAAAGACAUUAUUUUGCUUUAAAAAAUGUGGCUAUUUUCUUCUGCAAUUAAAUGUAAGAAUAUUCAGAUAUACUGAUGUCACUGUAAUACUGUAUCUUUGGAAUCAAGAUCUAUUUUACCUUCUUUUAACUAUAGUGCUAAUUGUAUACACUGAGUAAGACAGGGUGAUAUAAUGCUUAUUUAAUAACUUUCGAGAUAGCUUCUCUUUGUUUUAAAAUACAGUCAUAAAUAAGCACUUAUUUAAAAAAGCUAAAUGCUUUCAUUUAUUCAAUGGAUGGCCUUGCUGACGAAAUGAUACUGCUUUUUAUCUUCUAAUUACUUCGUAUCUCAUUAGUGCUUCCUCUAAUGGGCUAAAGAAAAUGUGGAAACUUCAAACUGUUAAAUGCACCCAGGUUAGUUUUGGUAAUAGGUCUGAAUAAAAAAGAAAUU